GACGAACCGUACGAACGUUAUUCGGAAUCACUGGGCUUAAAGGGUGCGUAGGCUGCGCAGCAAGUUGGGUGUGAAAUCCCUCGCUUAACCGAGGAACUGCGCCCAAAACUGCUGUGCUCGAGGGAGAUAGAGGUGAGCGGAACUUAGGGUGGAGCGGUGAAAUGCGUUGAUAUCCUAAGGAACACCGGUGGCGAAAGCGGCUACACUGGAUCUCUUCUGACGCUGAGGCACGAAAGCUAGGGUAGCGAACGGG
rnacentral:rRNA from 1 species